rnacentral:rRNA from 1 species
AGUGAACGCUGGCGGUAGGCCUAACACAUGCAAGUCGAACGGCAGCACAGUAAGAGCUUGCUCUUACGGGUGGCGAGUGGCGGACGGGUGAGGAAUACAUCGGAAUCUACUUUUUCGUGGGGGAUAACGUGGGGAAACUUACGCUAAUACCGCAUACGACCUACGGGUGAAAGCAGGGGAUCUUAGGACCUUGCGCGAUUGAAUGAGCCGAUGUCGGAUUAGCUAGUUGGCGGGGUAAAGGCCCACCAAGGCGACGAUCCGUAGCUGGUCUGAGAGGAUGAUCAGCCACACUGGAACUGAGACACGGUCCAGACUCCUACGGGAGGCAGCAGUGGGGAAUAUUGGACAAUGGGCGCAAGCCUGAUCCAGCCAUACCGCGUGGGUGAAGAAGGCCUUCGGGUUGUAAAGCCCUUUUGUUGGGAAAGAAAAGCAGCAGGUUAAUACCCCGCUGUUCUGACGGUACCCAAAGAAUAAGCACCGGCUAACUUCGUG